rnacentral:rRNA from 1 species
AGUCGAGCGAGUCUGCCUUGAAGAUCGGAGUGCUUGCACUCUGUGAAACAAGAUACAGGCUAGCGGCGGACGGGUGAGUAACACGUGGGUAACCUGCCCAAGAGAUCGGGAUAACACCUGGAAACAGAUGCUAAUACCGGAUAACAACAGAUGAUGCCUAUCAACUGUUUAAAAGAUGGUUCUGCUAUCACUCUUGGAUGGACCUGCGGUGCAUUAGCUAGUUGGUAGGGUAACGGCCUACCAAGGCGAUGAUGCAUAGCCGAGUUGAGAGACUGAUCGGCCACAUUGGGACUGAGACACGGCCCAAACUCCUACGGGAGGCAGCAGUAGGGAAUCCUCCACAAUGGACGCAAGUCUGAUGGAGCAACGCCGCGUGAGUGAAGAAGGGUUUCGGCUCGUAAAGCUCUGUUGUUGGUGAAGAAGGACAGGGGUAGUAACUGACCUUUGUUUGACGGUAAUCAAUUAGAAAGUCACGGCUAACUACGUGCCAGCAGCCGCGGUAAUACGUAGGUGGCAAGCGUUGUCCGGAUCUAUUGGGCGUAAAGCGAGUGCAGGCGGUUCGAUAAGUCUGAUGUGAAAGCCUUCGGCUCAACCGGAGAAUUGCAUCAGAAACUGUCGAGCUUGAGUACAGAAGAGGAGAGUGGAACUCCAUGUGUAGCGGUGAAAUGCGUAGAUAUAUGGAAGAACACCGGUGGCGAAGGCGGCUCUCUGGUCUGUUACUGACGCUGAGGCUCGAAAGCAUGGGUAGCGAACAGGAUUAGAUACCCUGGUAGUCCAUGCCGUAAACGAUGAGUGCUAAGUGUUGGGAGGUUUCCGCCUCUCAGUGCUGCAGCUAACGCA